CCUACGGGAGGCAGCAGUGGGGAAUAUUGCACAAUGGGGGGAACCCUGAUGCAGCGACGCCGCGUGGGUGAAGAAGCGCCUCGGCGCGUAAAGCCCUUUCAGCAGGGAAGAAAAUGACGGUACCUGAAGAAGAAGCCCCGGCUAACUCCGUGCCAGCAGCCGCGGUAAUAGGGAGGAUGCGAGCGUUAUCCGGAUUUAUUGGGUUUAAAGCGUGUGUAGUCGGACAGUCAAGUCAGCGGUAAAAAUGCGGUGCUCAACGCCGUACCGCCGUUGAAACUGGCAGUCUUGAGUGGGCGAGAAGUAGGCGGAAUGCGUGGUGUAGCGGUGAAAUGCAUAGAUAUCACGCAGAACUCCGAUUGCGAAGGCAGCAUACCGGCGCACGACUGACGCUGAGGCACGAAAGCGUGGGUAUCGAACAGGAUUAGAUACCCGAGUAGUC
rnacentral:rRNA from 1 species